AAUCCAUGAGAAAGGAUUUUAACUAUUUUACGCACCUAUAUAAAGUACUCAUAACGAUGGGUUGAAUUGCGCAUCGUGUCAAUGAAAGAAGGUUGCAUAGGAUAGUGAGACAUUAGUACAAAGAAUUCGAUUCCUAAAGCUAUGCUAGAAAUUUUAUUAAAUUAAAUAAUUUCCAACCUUGCGAAGGGCUAUAUUAUAGUAUGUUUGUACUUUUUUAGCAUAUUCGGCAACGUCAAAAACACUUCACAAAUUGAAUGAAACCGAUAUCGUCGAAUACUACGAAGCGCUUUUGAGAAACGUUUAAGCUACACUCUUGAUUUUGCAUCUAAUACCUAUUAUUAAGUACUGUUCUCUGUAAACAUACAAAUCUGUUUCCUUUUUAGAAAAGCACAAAUUUCCUGUCUGUAAAUGCGAUAAGUCUUUGAAGACCAUUGUGAAAAGAUUCAAAACAAUGGCCGAAUGACUCUUUAAAAUACAUUCCUUUCUUCAACUAA